rnacentral:lncRNA from 1 species
AGCUUUCAUGCAUAUUGGCAUGCUCUCCACAAGCCUUUCAUACUGCUUUAGGGUGAAUUUAUUCCACUCCUGGCACAAAAAAUUCACGCAGUUCAGCAUUGUUUGAUGGCUUGUGGCCAACUGUGUGUGUGUUUGUGUUUGUCACAGUAUACACUAUACGCUGCAGGACUUUUAUUUUGAUAGCUGGUUGCCGGAUGUAACGCCAUCCUCAGCGGAGCUGCGGGGGUCUGUAGCUGGGGUGCUUAGUUUAGAAACACAGCAGCAGAUUGUUGGAGGUUAAGGUGAAUAUGGAAGGGUGGUUAGAGUUUCCCCCGGUCUCCAGUAAAGUGGAGCAGCAGAAGAUCCAGCUCUGAUCAGCAGCUCCACACCUCUGUACUCAGACUGCUCUGCUGGAGGAAAACCAUCAGCUCACCUGCUGCAGAAAUGAAUGCUGUUCUGUUCCAGAUCUUCCCCUUAUCUCAGUGUCAGUGGAAGGAGUUUAUCUGCACAAAUACAAUCAGAAAAUUUUAGGAAGAUAAUAAGUUGCUGAACAAAAAGAAGAACAUGGCAUCCACAG